UCCAAUCAGGCUUCAUUUUUUCUCUUUUUGCUCUUAAGGUUUCUUCUCAACUUUUUCAGAUGAAAAUCAGUUCUAUUAGUAUUUACCAAUCGUUAAAAGGAUGCACAAAGGUGCAUUCUCUCUUAGAGCUUUUGAUUGCAUCAAUGGAGUUGUCACGGUUUUGCAGAUGUUUGCAGUUUUAUGUCUGAGAACUUCCAAUGUCCACUUUUACAGACCACUGUUUCCAGAAGCUACUACACAAAGUGAUUCCUGGAUUUUGUCCCACCGUAUUUCCCCAAUAAAUGUUUAUUGCUAUCUGACUUUUUCAAUUAUGUUAAGCUGGUUCAUUCCCAUCGCCUACAAUCUUCAAUGUGAGUGUCUAUAAAACGACAAAAAAAAACGAUUGAACAUUUUUAUCUGUACAAACCUGUUUCUGUCUUGUUAACCAAAUGCUUUUUGUAGAGUAAUUCUUAAAAUAAAAGAUCCCA
ensembl:lncRNA